GCCGGGCCGGGCUUAGGUGCGGAAGACCCGGGGCCGACUGAGUCCUCGAAGCGCCAGUGCCGCCGACGGGAGACAGCCAGCUCCGCGGCGCGCCGCGUGAGUGGGACUAAGCUCACGUUUCUCCGACGUGCUCGCUUUCCACAGGGAACCAGUGUGGGGUUUUGCUUUAUUUUUUAUCCAAGUGUCCUCCUCUCUCGGUGGAGCCAACCUGGGCCCCGUGUGCAGCGCAGGAACGAGGACAGAGACCCUGACCUCCUCCGGUGUCUGGAAACCGCCCUGCUGCACUGCACGGAUGGAAGGUAUCGGACUGACGCACGCGUGACUUUUCAGGAGCACUGCAGUUUUCCAUAGAAAGACAGGUCUGCAAAGUGGAAGAACAGCGUGAAAUAGCAUAUGAAGAUUCUCUUUGAACAAGACAUUCAGUCUUUUCCUGCCUCCCCCCGCCCCUCUCUGUAUCCAGUCUGGCCUUGAACUUGCAAUCCGUCUGCCUCAGCCUCCCCAGGAAUCGAUCACUGCAUCUAUCUAGACUUCAAUCUGGUUUUGGAGGGGGUACCAAAUUUCUUUAUCUGAAGGAAUGGUGCAAAUUAAAGAACUUCAGCGGAUGUUUUGGUACAAUGUACGGCAAAGCUAAGGUAAGCCCACGUGCAUGCCCUGCCGUGGUGACAGGGACCCCACUCUGAGCUGGGGGCGCAGCCUAAGGGCGCUGGGUCACCGCCUCUGGGUUUGCGGCCACAUCCGCAGAUGAGUGAGGCGGGAACACGACGGCGGGCGGGAACUGCGGAGGAGAGCUGGUCCCUCGUGGUGGCCGGAAACAGAGGGAGGGCGGGGAAGGACCGAGAGGAAGGGGUCCGGAAGGGGUCAGGCCCGGGACCGCCCCCUUGCACCAGCCCCGCCCCGUUCCCAUGGCUCCCGACAGCGCCGUCACAUCACGUGUCAUCAGCGGAUCACUGCGUGGAUGAAUGAGGGCCCCGACGGUCCAUCGCUUCCCCAAAAGCCCCUUGGCUGGGAACCAGGCCUUUCGAAAUGAGUUUUGGGGGACAUUUCACAUCUAAACCGUAGCAACACGUCCUAUCCUUUGUUCUGUUAAACCAGGACUGUUUGAUUCAGACCUUGCUUUUAGUGUAUUAAUGACUCCAUCGAAUCAAAAUACGCUUCUUGGUAGCUUCAAAUGUGCGGAAAUAUGAGUAGUGGUACACAGGACUCUGGGAGGCUGAGGUAGGAGGAUUGUAAGUUCAAGCCAAGCCCGGGCAACUUAGUGACUUCGUGAGACCCUAAAAACCAAAAAGGGCUGGGGGUAGGGCUUAGUGCAAAGGCCCUGGGUUCAAUCUCCACUACUGAGAAGAAAAGGAAGGAAGAAAGAGAAAGCCAAGGGAAAGAAAGAAGUAGUUCUGUCGUGGUCUCCUCCCUCCGAGGGUCAGGGCAGCCUUACUGUUUGCUGGUGUGCCGCAGAAGGAAUGCAACUCCUGUUUGGGUUGGAAGGUGAAGGUGCUGAAACACAGUUCGGCGGCGUCAGGUCCCUUCCACUGCGGUGUGCGACCAUCGCCUCCGCUCGUCUCCACCGCUUUCCAUCAUCCCAAACGCGGGCUCUGCACCCACUCAAGGGACUCCAGCUGGGGCUGAGGCUCAGUGUGAAGGCGCUGGCGCCAUCUCACCAUCGAAAGAAACAAACAAAAACAAACCCCCCUCCCACAAAAAAACACAGCCACAACUCAACAGUUGCUCUCCCUUCCUCUGGCUUCUGGAAGCCACCGCUGCCCUCCCUGUGUGACUGGACUAUUCCAGGGACCUUGUUCAGCGGAACCUGCGUCUUCCACCAAGCCCUCAGUCAUAACAGACUCCCGGCCCCUCCGUGGGCCAGCAGGUGUCAACUGCCUUCCUGUCUGGGCUGGAUCACGCCCCAGGCUGUGUCUGCCGUCUGUCUGUCUUUCUCACCAGUGAAGGGCUCCGGCUGCUUCCACACCGUGGCUAUGGUGAACUCCUCAUGCAUCUCUCUGAGACCUUGCUUUCCAUUCUUUGGCAUGCUCACUCAGGCGUGGGAUUGCCAGAUCCUACGAUAGUCACAUUUUUAAUUGUUUGAGGAGCCGCCACACCGUCUUCCACAGGGGCUGCAGCGUCUUACAAGAGUUCGGGUUUCUCCAGGAGGCCACCAAUGCCUGGUGUUUCCAGUUGGGUUUUGUGUUGUUGAUUGCUGUCUGCGCCCUUAGGGUGCGAGGCGGGGUCUCAUUGUGGCUUUGGUUUGCAUUUUCUGAAUGAUGAUGCUGGGUGUCUUCUCACAUGCUUAUCUUAUUUGGAGAAAUACCUAGUAAGGAGCCCUUUGUCUGUGCUUAGUGGAGUUAGUUUCUGCUGUUGAGUUGUAGGGUUCUUUACAUAUUCCAGAUAGCAAUCCCCUAUAUACCCAAUUUACAAAUGUUUUCUAUCAUUCCUUGGGUGGCCUUUUCACUCUGCUGGUUCUGACCUCUGAUGUAAUCAAAUGUAUCCAUUUUCUUUCUGUGUGUGUGUGGCCUGUGGUUUUAGUGUCAUGUCCAAAAAUCAGUUGUCAAAGUGUUCAACAGUGCUGUGAGGCAAAUGGUAAAAUCCAGGGUCUUCAGGCUCAGGUCUCUGACUGGUUCUGAGUUACCUUCCGAGCUAUAAGGCAAGGGUCCCUUUGCAUGCAGAUGUUCAGUUUUCCCAGCCCAUUUGUUGAAAAGACAGUCCUUUCCCCCACAGACACAUGGCUCCCUUGUAGAAAAUUGUGGGCUCCAUGGUGUGACUAUUUCAGGCUGCUCCAUUUGUCCUGUCAGUCUCUGCGCCUCAGUCGCUAUACUGUUUUGGUUCCUGUGACUUAGGGAGUUUUGAAAUCAGGAAGUGUGAGACCUCCAACUUGUGCAUCUUUUUCAAGAUGGUGUUGGCAAUUCAGGGUUCCUUGAAAUUCUAUCUGAAUUUUAGGAUGGAUUUUUCUGCUUUUGCAAAAGAAGAGAAGUCACUGGGAUUUUGGUAGAGAUGGCAGUGCAACAGCAGGCUACUUUGGAUCAUGCUGACAUCUUAAAGAAACUAAGUCUUCCAGGCCAUGCACGUAGGGUGUCUUUGUACUUACGGGCAUUCUUCUUUAAUUUCAGUCUACACUUCAUAGUUUUUGGUGUAUCAGUUUUUCAUCUCCUUGGUAACAUUUAUCACUAAGUAUUUUAUUUUUCUUUGCACUCCAUAAACAGGAUUGUUUCUUCACAGAGGCGGUUCUCAUUGCUACUGCACAACUGACGUUUGCAAGCUGAUUUUGUACCCUGCAACUUUGCUGAAGGGGUGUGUUCUAACGUGUGUGCGCGCGUGCAUAUGUGUGCAUGUGUGUAAUAAAAUGGAGCUUUUAAAAUGCUGUGCAGACUCCUUUCUCCUCAUCUGUUGAGAGGCUGUGCGUGGAUGCUGUCUGCAUCAAACAAACCCGGAAC
ensembl:lncRNA